rnacentral:rRNA from 1 species
CUACGGGGCGCUGCAGUGAGGAAUAUUGCACAAUGGGGGAAACCCUGAUGCAGCAACGCCGCGUGGAGGAUGACGCAUUUCGGUGUGUAAACUCCUUUUAUAUGUCAAGAAGAUGACGGUAGCAUAUGAAUAAGCACCGGCUAACUCCGUGCCAGCAGCCGCGGUAAUACGGAGGGUGCAAGCGUUACUCGGAAUCACUGGGCGUAAAGGACGCGUAGGCUGGUUGGUAAGUCAGGUGUGAAAUCCUACAGCUUAACUGUAGAACUGCACUUGAAACUACCAACCUAGAGUAUGGGAGGGGGAGAUGGAAUUAGUGGUGUAGGGGUAAAAUCCGUAGAUAUCACUAGGAAUACCGAAAGCGAAGGCGAUCUCCUGGAACAUAACUGACGCUAAGGCGUGAAAGCGUGGGGAGCAAACAGGAUUAGAUACCCCGGUAGUC